GCGAGUCUGCGGCGGGAACCGUGGCUCCGCAGGUGUUCGCGGCUCGGAUCGCCUUGCACGAACUCCUGAGGUCUUAUCAUUCCACAUGGUCUACAGUUCAGGAAGCUUCUGGAACAUGCGGCACCUCUACAAUGGAAACGAGGUCAGCAUGAGCAGCUCCAGAUGCGUUCCUGAAACCCUGCUGUCUGAAAGUUAACCCUGUGAAGGGACCUCAAGCAGACCCUCUGCAGAAGUCUUGUGGUGCCCCUGCCAGAAACAUUGCAGCAUGUUCGUCGUCUGCCUUCCGCCAGCCUCUGGAUCUCCUGGAGGGAAAACUAGCUCCAAGCAGGAAAGAAGAAGGAAGAACUCUGAAGGAUACAAGAGCGACCCAGCUUACAGUCCAGACAAUAUUUGAAGGAGAGCCACAUCUUGUCAUUUGAAUUCUCCGUGGAGCCUUCCAAGUGCCAAAACACUGAGGACAGGGCUGUGCCUUGGUAACUGUGUGUCACUAUGGACUCUGUGGUACAGGGAGAUGGCUCUGGCCGUUUGCCUUUGAAGAUGAAGUUCUCUUUUUCUAGGUGGUUUUCACACAAGGCGGUAGGGGAUUUCUUAUUGCUUCCCCUCCCGACCUAUCCCCGAACCUCGCCACCAGGCAGCCCCACCAUAUUAGCUCAGAAGAUCCAUAAAGGGGCAGGAGCCCCUGUUCCCUCCCCUCUGCUCGAAGGUGUUAUUAGUUGGAUAGAGUGGAGCUGGAACAUAGGAGUGACCUUGGGAAGGGGCACUUGGUGACUAAGCAAGAAUGGGCACCGGAGUGUCUACACACCACACCCAGCUUGCAGGGGAGGCUGGCUCACAAACCACCCUCAGGGUGACCUUGGAGGUCUGCAGGCUCAAUUCUCACGGCGCCUAGCCCCAUACCUGUCGAGUAACUUCCAAACUUAGUAGGCAGUUUAUGGAGGUAACACAUAGACAUGAAGGAGAACACUGAGCUGUCCCCCAAGGGGGAGCCCCAGGCAAAGGUCACAUCCCUUUCUUUCUGCAUAUAGCUGAGUUCUAGGUCCCACCAAGGGUAGAACUCCCCUUCCUUGUUGGCUAUGAAAAUUUCUUAUCUCCUGUAUAAAGGGAGGGGUGAUGACAAAUGUCUCUAAGUCCCAAUUUCUCUAUGACCACAGCCCCCUUCCAGCCUUCUUCUAAAGCAAGUACGCUAAGGGGUGGAGAUGUAGCUCAAUUGGUAAGGUGCUUGCCUAGUGUGCAGAGAGAGCCCUGGGCUCCCUUUUGCAACGCUUCAAAAAACCAGGUGUGGUGGUGCAUUCUUGUAAUCCCAGUACUUGGGAACAUGUGGGCAGGCCGCAUUCAAACCCAUGGCAUCCAGUGGAUCUACUCUGGCCCUGGAAACGUGGUGCUAGUAUUGUAAUGUGUGCUGAGUCUCUGGAGAAGUGUCCCGAGCCGCACCUAUAAUGACGGUCCCAAGCCACGUUCAAGAAGAAAUGGCACAGACAGGUAGGAGAGACGGAAGCUGAGAAAGUGCAGGCUCCUGAAGGACCAAAGGCCCAGGAUGAAAAGUAAUCCUACAUCCAUUGUAAAGGGAGCGCUAAGUUUCUAGGAGCCCACUCGAGACAGUCUAGAAAGCUGUAAAGAUUCCCCACUUGCUGAUUUUGGCAGCACACACCUGCAAUCCUAGUACUUAGGAGACAGAGGCGAGGGAGGGCACUCAAGAGUUGAAAGUCAUCCUCGGCUACAAAGUGAGUUUGAGGAUAGCCUGGGCAACAUACUUGAAAUCCUUUCUCAAAACAACAACAAAAAACAACCUGUUUAAGCCCCAUGCUGCGUUUCUCACUGCCCUACUCCCAGUUCUGAGGUUGCCAGCAGGGCUCCCAGGGCUCCCAGGGCUCCCAGGGCUCCCAGGGCUCCCAGGGCUCCCAGGGCUCCCAGGGCUCCCAGGGCUCCCAGGGCUCCCGGCUGUUCCUUUGAGCCAGCUGUGUCUUCAUUGAGGUCCCUGACUGUCCUCCUGCCAUCCCCGGCUGGCUUGGAAGUGCUUUCUUUCAGUGACUUGUGGGUCCCAGGCCUUGCACUCAUUGAAUCUUCUCACCCAGCUUUGGAAUAAGUCUUUUGUGGGCCCCCUGUUACAACUGAGGGAAAUAGAUGCACAGAGCUGUGCUCAGCUUGCUCCUUUCAUGCAACUCCUGCGUCGAGGAGCCAGGACUGUGUCAUCCCUGCAACCGUGACGUCAGAAGUCCUGACGUUGGGUUGCAGGAGUUUCACUUCCAUUUGCUGGGAUAAAGCAGCCCGCUUGCUGGACUCUGUGGCCUUUUGGAAAUGGUAUUGCUUCCACAAUCUCUUCUUCAGCCUGCCCAAACCUAUCUAAUGCUUUACAGGAACAUAUGUGCCCAAGAGAGACAUGCGCUUCCCACCAGCAGACACUAGCAUAUCUGCUGUGGGAAUUGAGGGGACUCUUGAGUUGGGGUAGAUUCAAGAGCCUCUGGUCAUGCCAUCAACUCUGCAAGGCGGGCAUUGUUAUGGUUUAUUUCUGCUCCACUACGUCUGGGACCUCCACCAGAUUGGCUGGAAAUACUGAACAUGGUCCAAAGAGGGCUGGCUCUGUGUCUGGAGCCUUUAUUCUAUCUGCCAGCUGGGUUCCUCUUCUCCCUGUGAUGUCAUCUGGGGCUCAGAUGUCUGAAGUGGCUCUGGCACGCAGGCCCCUAGUACCUCUACUUUCUUUUAUGUGUUCACUGUCUUCAGAAGAGUAGCUUCAGCCUACACUGUCUGGGCUAUCAGAGCACACAAUAUCAAUAUCCUUUUCCAUUGCACUCCACUUUACCUAGUCUACUUCUAGCCAGUGCUUUCUAGAUGGCAGUGCCAUAUACUACAAGAUUCUGCUUCUGUGUGUGCAUACUGCUCUUUGAACUUGAAUCUAAUACAGGCUGGCCAGGAACUUUUGAAGUCAUUUGACUCAAAAAUGGAAGGAAAUCCAAUCAGGCCAGUUAGUUUCUCCUCCUGCCACCCCACACCCACCCCAUUUGAAGUCUGAACCUAAAUCACACCGAUUGAGAGUAUGUAACAAGGUGAUAAGUAGGGCUUUGAUGGUCUGAUGUUCCGGCCAAAAUCACCAUGAAGGAGAAAGCUAGUGAGAAGGUUAUGAUACGGAGAAAAUCCACUUACUGUGGAAGAAGAGAAAAUAAACCUUUCUCUGGAACAUAGGAAAAGAAGAGACUGCUUAGAGUAGGGUUGUGGCUCCUGAGCUACCCCUGCAGCCCUGGAGCUCAAGCCAGUUCAUCUUCACAGCGAUGGAAUGUGAAUCACUGUACCAAGCUUGUAUUUUGCUUUUGCUGUUGAUUGACAUAGUCGUGGUCAUGUGAUUCAAUUCUGCUAAUCCACUUAUGGAGAGAUGUUUGGGAUAACCUUGAAUCUAUGCGGGAUCAAGACCAAGGGGAUGACAGCCGGCUGGGGAUGACAGGACAGGUGAUGAGCAAAAGGGGCCUGGGUUCCCCGGAGUCACAAUGCCUACCCUGGAACCGUUUCCUUCCAGCCUAAUUGCUGUAGGAGCCUAUUGUCUCCUGGGUCCCAUCCUUCUCUUAGGACCUGAAACAUUCCUAAGCUCUCCAUAAAAUGUCCCUGCCGUCAUUGUUACAUAGUGGGUCUUUUUUGUAGCUCUAAAUGAAAAAAACAACCCAGGUUGCUUUUCUUCCUAAGUGUUGGUGGGAGAAAUUCUGCUGAGAUGAUAAAAAAUGGACAGGAACAACAAAGAGGCAGGGCCUUCACAGGCAAAAGAACAGCCCCGGUGAUUAGUCCCCCAGCUCUCCUCAGACCCGGUGGACACAGACCAGGAAAGAUAAAUAAUUCUGAAAAUGUCCACAUGCCCAAGUCUCCUCAGACAGGGCUGAGGAAUAACUCUUAGAAAAAAACAUUGCUGGGGGCAGGGGGGAACUAUUAAUGCCUAAGAUCCAGAGCCCAAAGAGUGAGAAGGCAGGUUAGGUAGGAUGUGGGUAGAUUCUAAGAAAGUGUCUAUGGCUGGGUGUUGGGAACAAUGAACUGAAACAAUUUGCUGCAGCAGGAGCCAGCAGGUGCAAAGGGGUCGCACUCAGGAGACAGCCUUGGGGUUUGAAAAUGGUCCUCUUGGUCCUCUUAGGAGGAGGGCAGUGCUAAAUCGUACCUGCUGGCCUUCUCUGUGCUCGGGCAUGGGCCGGCUUCCUUCCUUACCUCCCCUCCUCCCCUCCCUUUUUUCUUCUACCUUUUGUUCAAGUGAAGGCAGGAGCUAGAGGCACAUACAACCCUAUCCAAGUUUCUUUCUCGCAGCUUGUGGGACGAGGAGGCUGGGGAUGGGGCUCAGUUGGCAGAGUGCUUGCCUAGCAGGCACAAAGCCCUGGCUUGCAUCCCCAGCCCCACAUAAACUAGGUAUGGUGGAGCACGCUUGUAAUCAAUCCUACCCUUGGGAAGUAGGGGUCAGAAGAUAAGUCUAAGAUCAUUGGAGAAACUGAACUCAAGGCCUGGCUCUUCCUCUUGGAAGAGAAAAAAAAAAAAAAAAAGCCAGGCUUCUCCUGGUACCCCAAGUGAGGCUGACAAAUGCUCAUUACCCUGUUAUAAGCAAACUAGAAAAAGCCGCCCUCCCUUCUGGUGUAUCUCGGAAUAACCACAGAACCCCACCACAGGUGUGCUAAAUCUGAGAAGUUGUGACACAGAUUCUGACACCAGCCCUCAGUAUAUAACUGGUGCUCCCCCACAUGGUGUAUGCAGCUGGGUCCCUAAUGCCAAGGCUGAUAGCUCACCAGCAAAGUGAGUCUCAGCUUGUAAGGAGAGCAAGGGAGAUGUGACCCCGGAGAGAGAAAAAAAAAA